UUCAUCGGUUGAUCACUUUUCUCAACUGUUUCGCUUAAUAUAACAUUUGUAAAGAUAGGUUUUAUUGUGGUUCAAUGGGAAAACGCGAACAGCGUGAGUGUUGUAAAAGAAAAGAAAAUCGUUGGCGCCGUGGAGUUAAAAGAAGGGACAACAGUUGACAUACUGACUGGUACAAAUAAUGGUCGAGUGGCCAUCUGUAAAGCUACGAUUUUGAAAGUUCGUGAUGUUAUGGAAUCCGGAUACAAAAUGGUCAAGCUUCUUGUAGACAACCUCAUUCAAGGCCAACUCACUAUGUGAAGCCCUCAAAUAUUUUAGUAAACUCCCGCAGUGAAAUCAAGCUCUGUGACUUUGGAGUCAGUGGACAGUUAAUUGACUCAAUGGCAAAUUCUUUUGUUGGCACACGAUCUUAC